AUCCCAUGUAUCCGAUAUUACUAAACAAAGACGUCAGGCUUGCAUUGCAGCGGUGAGACGAGCGGAUCGAGUUCUGUGCAAUCCCCAGCUUUUUGUUGGUUUGGUCUCUGCAUCUUCUUUCCGCGCAUACACAGCAAACCAGUUUAAGAAUUAUAAAUCCCUGGAGGCCCACAUCCAAUUCACGAAUGGCUGGGUGCAAGAUUUGUCCAUCUUUAUGCCUCCACGCUGCGACAACUGUACGUUGUCGUUAAGACAAAGGUACUGCACUCACAACGACUGAAUGAAACUGCACUGUGACCUCGUUGUGUGGACACAGAGAGACCU
ensembl:lncRNA